rnacentral:miRNA from 1 species
UCUUUGGUUAUCCAGUUUGA